rnacentral:tRNA from 1 species
GGGCCCGUAGCCUAGCCAGGAUAAGGCGGCAGCCUUCGGAGCUGCAGAUCAGGGGUUCGAAUGUGUAUUCAGUUCUGAAUACACAGAAAAUCCCCUCGGGCCCG